AAGUCGUAACAAGGUUUCCGUAGGUGAACCUGCGGAAGGAUCAUUAUCGAGUGAACUUUGCGGGGGGUUUAGAUGCUGGUCGUAAGGGCAUUGUGCUCGGCCUCCCUGCUCAAACUCAUCCAACCACUGUGCAUCACUUCGAGAUUUUUAGCAGUCCUCCGGGUUUCCGGAGAAGCUUCGAUCCCUGAAAGGGGAUUUUGGCCGGGACUUGCGAAAGCUUGAUAUUCACACAAACCACACUUAUACAAAUGUCCAUUAGAAUGCAAAUUUGAUAAAAUACAACUUUCAACAACGGAUCUCUUGGCUCUC
rnacentral:misc_RNA from 1 species